rnacentral:sRNA from 1 species
GGAAACAUGAGGAUGAUCUGGCUCUAACAUGUCAACCCAUUGAUCACCAGAGUUGAUUCAGCUCAUCUGGCUGAGGAGGUGGGAGUCCCCUUCCUCCCUCACUGCUCCAUGUGUGUCCCACCUAGAUCUGUGUACUUAGUCAAAGAGGACAAUUUUCCCUGAAAGAGGAGGACCAUUCCAUAGUCAAGGGUAUAUGAGUAGCUGUGCUUCCCCACUAGAACCUCCAAAUCUCUCAAAGUAGGGAGCUUCUAAUGUAAUUUUGUUUUAUU